rnacentral:snoRNA from 1 species
UCAUGAUGAGACAACCAGCUGGCACCAGUCAUAGGGCGACUUGUACUCCCUUCCUUUGAUGACACAAUUUGCUGAGAUCUUAAAGAUCCUCUCUGAC